rnacentral:rRNA from 1 species
GGACUACCGGGGUAUCUAAUCCUGUUUGCUACCCACGCUUUCGCGCCUCAGCGUCAGUUACUGUCCAGGUGGCCGCCUUCGCCACUGGUGUUCCUCCUCAUCUCUACGCAUUUCACCGCUACACGAGGAAUUCCACCACCCUCUCCAGUACUCUAGCCUUCCAGUCUCGGAUGCAGUUCCUGGGUUGAGCCCAGGGAUUGCACAUCCGACUUAAAAAACCGCCUACGCGCCCUUUACGCCCAAUAAUUCCGAAUAACGCUUGCCCCCUCUGUAUUACCGCGGCUGCUGGCAC